CCAAGUGAUGUGUUGUGGUGGCACCCCGGCAGGCCAUGUCGGAGGCGUGGGUUCGAUUCCCACCACUUGGUCCA
rnacentral:tRNA from 2 species